UAUACACUGAUCUGCGCCCCGAUAUUUCCAUUGAGUAAAGUAACUAACUCUCUCCUCUCUUCUCUCUCCUCUCUCCUCUCUCCUCUCUCCCUCCUCAAUGAAUGAAAUUGAUAUGACCACGAGUGCUAGAUGUAAAGGGUCUUCACUUUGGCGUGAGCCAUAGAUUGAUUGGGGCCCAAAGAUGAAAGAGAAGACAUGCCAAGGAUCCAACAAAGCUAGAGGAUCUCCCGAGGAUGCGAGGAAUAGAGAAGGCCCGGAUUUGAGGACAAAUCAUUUCCAAGAAGGGGAGGAUGAUACGACCAUAGAAGCCGUGGAUCAAAGUUCAUUCCUGCAGCUGAAUUUUAUCAGUAUUAUUCCUGUCUAAAUGACUUCCAAAAGCUUUGAAACUGCCACCGUUGUCUUCGUCUUCUAGAGAGCUUCGCGUGAGUAUCUUACACGCCUCAAUCAAAGUCCGGAGGAUGGAGUUAUGGCCGUUUUACGGAAGUCGCGCAGUGCAGAAAAAGUUCCACCAGGGCGGGUGGCUACCCGAAGGCAUGGUGGAAUCAGCAAUUUCCACCCGGACGGGUGGCUUUCGGUCACCAAAUUCCACCCGGGAGGGUGGCCACCCGAAGGCAUGGCGGAAUCAGCGAUUUCCACCCGGGCGGGUGGCCCACGCAGAAGCUAAAUUUUGUGGGCCUUUUUCUUGGAAUUUGACCUUCAACUAUAAAUAGGACUUUAUCUGUUUUCUUCUUUGGUUGAUUAAUGAAUUAAGAUAUCUCCUUUGUGAGUUUUUCCUCUUUGAGGAUUGUAUCAAAUUCCUUCUUUGAAAGUUGCUUGUUUCAAUUCCAUAGAUUGAUUCAAGUAGAUGUAUGCAUCAAUGGAGUGUAUCCAUUGAGUAGUGGAGCCAAGGCGUGAUAGGGCUAAUAAAAGUUGCCUAGGGUUGUCUCCAUCUUCUUGGUUAAGGUCCUAUGGUUGUAGCUCUUUUAUCUCAUCGUUAUACACAUGCUUUCCUUUUCUAA